CCUACGGGUGGCAGCAUUGGGGAAUAUUGCACAAUGGGGGAAACCCUGAUGCAGCGACGCCGCGUGAGUGAAGAAGUAUCUCGGUACGUAAAGCUCUAUCAGCAGGGAAGAAAAUGACGGUACCUGACUAAGAAGCCCCGGCUAACUACGUGCCAGCAGCCGCGGUAAUAGGGAGGAUGCGAGCGUUAUCCGGAUUUAUUGGGUUUAAAGGGUGCGUAGGCGGAAUAUAAAGUCAGCGGGAAAAAUUCGGGGCUCACCCCCGUCGUGCAGUUGAAACUGAUGUUCUUGAGUGGGCGAGAAGUAGGCGGAAUGCGUGGUGUAGCGGUGAAAUGCGUAGAUAUCACGAAGAACUCCGGUUGCGAAGGCGGCAUACCGGCGCCCAACUGACGCUGAAGCGCGAAAGCGUGGGUAUCGAACAGGAUUAGAUACCCCUGUAGUC
rnacentral:rRNA from 1 species